UAUUAAUUUAUAGAGGGCUUACUG
rnacentral:siRNA from 1 species